rnacentral:rRNA from 1 species
CCUACGGGGGGCUGCAGUGAGGAAUAUUGGUCAAUGGCCGGAAGGCUGAACCAGCCAAGCCGCGUGAAGGACGAAGGUGCCAAGCAUUGUAAACUUCUUUUGUCAAGGGACAAAAUCAGGCUCGAGAGCCUGACCGAGGGUACUUGAAGAAAAAGCAUCGGCUAACUCCGUGCCAGCAGCCGCGGUAAUACGGAGGAUGCGAGCGUUAUCCGGAUUUAUUGGGUUUAAAGGGUGCGUAGGCGGGCUGUUAAGUCAGCGGUAAAAGUCCGGGGCUCAACCCCGGCGAGCCGUUGAAACUGGCUGUCUUGAGAUGUCGAGAGGUAUGCGGAAUGCGCAGUGUAGCGGUGAAAUGCUUAGAUAUUGCGCAGAACUCCGAUUGCGAAGGCAGCAUACCGGCGGCGAUCUGACGCUGAGGCACGAAAGCGUGGGUAUCGAACAGGAUUAGAUACCCUUGUAGUC